rnacentral:rRNA from 1 species
CUGCAUGGUUGUCGUCAGCUCGUGCCGUGAGGUGUCGGGUUAAGUCCCAUAACGAGCGCAACCCCUAUCAUUAGUUGCCAUCAGGUCAAGCUGGGGACUCUAAUGAAACUGCCUACGCAAGUAGUGAGGAAGGUGGGGAUGACGUCAAAUCAGCACGGCCCUUACGUCCAGGGCUACACACGUGCUACAAUGGCCGGUACAAAGGGCAGCUACCUGGUGACAGGAUGCUAAUCUCAAAAGCCGGUCUCAGUUCGGAUCGGAGUCUGCAACCCGACUCCGUGAAGCUGGAAUCGCUAGUAGUCGCGCAUCAGCCAUGGCGCGGUGAAUACGUUCCCGGGCCUU